UUUUUGAUAGAAAGGUUUUGAAAGCCUUUAUAGGGUAUAUUUGUACCCCCUAGUGUAA
rnacentral:tRNA from 1 species